UACAGAGGUCCCAAGCGUUGUUCGGAUUCACUGGGCGUAAAGGGUGCGUAGGUGGCGGGGUAAGUCGGAUGUGAAAGCUCGGAGCUCAACUCCGAAAUGGCAUUGGAAACUACUCUGCUCGAGGAUUGGAGGGGGGACUGGAAUACUUGGUGUAGCAGUGAAAUGCGUAGAUAUCAAGUGGAACACCAGUGGCGAAGGCGAGUCCCUGGACAAUUCCUGACACUGAGGCACGAAAGCUAGGGGAGCAAACAGG
rnacentral:rRNA from 1 species